UGGGGUUGAUUUGGUAUCAAGCUGAGUCAAUAGAGAACGCCAGAAGCCUACUGCGUGGAAUAAUUAAAGGACUCAAAGCUGCUUCGCUGCUGUUAGACACUGGUAAUGACAGAUCCGUGAAAAUGCAUGACAUAGUUCGUGAUGUAGCCAUAUGGAUAGGCUCAGAAGUACUAGUGGAGAAGAAAUUUUUUAGUAAAUUUGGCAUUGGAUUGGCUGAACGGGUAUUGGAAGAAGGCCUGGAGCAAUACAGAGGAAUCUCUGUAUUGGGAAAUAAAGAAGAAGAGCUUCCUAGUAGUUUGGUAUGCCCUAACCUUCAUAUUUUGUGAUUGGACAAUACUAUGUGUGACUACAAAUUGCAAGUUCCAGAACAUUUUUUUGAAGGGAUGCCAGCAUUGAAAGUUGUUACUAUAAUAGAUGGAGUCCUUUCACUAAAAUCGCUUCGAUUCCUCGCCAGUAGCCUCCGAGUUCUGCAGUUGAUUGGAUGUGAUGUGAGUGACGCGUCUUUUCUUGGAAAGUUGAAGAGACUUGAACUUCUUUAUCUCGAGGAUUCUCCCAUUGAAAUUCCUGAAGAAUUGUCGGAUGAACUUCGUAGAUUGAAACUUCUAUAUAUUGAUAUUGGUUCUGUUUCUCCCAUUACGAUAAAAAAAUUCCCUCAAUUAGAAGAAUUUUAUGGUCGGAUAAAAAAUUGGGAGGUUGAAGGGAUGAGUUCAGAAGAAAGUAAUGCUAGGCUUGCUGAGUUGAACUCCCAGGCUGACGGAUCUGUUGUAUGUCUUUCAAAGACUUUACAUUCCCGGAAUUGCAAAGGUACAUCAUGGGUAAUGGUGAACGAGUUCGCAAUAAAGUGGAAGAUGGUGAUAAGACAAGGAGCUUAACCAUUGAUAAUGACUCUCCUCAAGCGACCUCGCUGAAUAUUUUUUCAGCAUUGUAUCAACAUCUGGAAUUUCUUGAUUUGUGCAGGAUAAUAGGUUGUCAUAAUAUUGUGCCAAGCAUAGAUCCAAGGGGCUUAAAUGAGUUGACUAUUCUUGAUGUCGGCGAUUGUGAAGAUUUAGAAUGCAUAAUGGAUGCCUCUCAGUCACCGCAUGGAGAGGGUGGGAAUCCUAUGAUGCUCUCAAGAUUAGCAGAGUUGUCUAUGUGGGAAUUGCCAGAACUGAAGCAUAUAUGGAAGGCGCCCGCCCAACAUGUGAGCCUCCAAACUCUUACAGCAUUGCAAGUGUACAGGUGCAACAAUUUGACAUAUGUCUUCUCGUUGUCACAAGCUCGAAGUUUGAAGCAUCUUGAAAGUCUUGAAGUGCGGGAAUGCAAGAGACUGGAAUGUAUCAUCGAAGCGAAGUUUGAUCAUAAUGAAGGGGAAAUAAGUGUCGGAGAUAGAAACACGAUGCUCGCCCUCCCUUUGUUGAGAAAUUUGUCACUUGAACGUCUCCCAGAACUCAUCAGCUUCUGUUCAGAAAAUUAUUGUCCAAUUUGGCCAGCAUUGGAAGAGUUACUCCUUUGGCACUGUCCCAUCUUGACAGUCAACAGUACUGAAAUUCAAGCCAAUUUGCAGUAUCUUGAAGAGGUAUGCUUGUUUGUGUUUACGUUUUUUUUCUUUUUCUUCAAUUUUACUCAAAUUGAUAGUUUAUCAAUAAUUUUUAUGAACCACCUUGCAUUUGGCCUUGUAGAGAGAUGAUGAUGAUGGUAGUGCUAAUGGUGAUGUUAAUAAUAAGAUUCAAUAUCCUAGGGAAACUUCCUUAUUUUAGGCCUAAAAUUCAUUCUUCAAAUGAAAGUCAAAUUCUCCUUUUGGUUUUGAAGGGAAAAAAAAAAGGUUGGAUGCAAACACUUGUGAAGUAUAUAUAAUAUUAAACAAAGUCAAUUAAUUAGUUAAUCAAGCCAUAGAAAUAGAAUACAAAUUUUUCAUAAACAAACCGAUUUCAUCGUUACAUCACUUCACAUGAUCUCUUUUAAUUAAUUUCAUUUUUUUAUAAAUUCAUUACUUUCAUAAAAUAUAACUAUUUUGUACGGACUUAGAUUUUUUUUGGGUGUUUGUUUAUUGCUUAUCAUGUGAUAAUCCUAGCUGCUAAUAGAUUUUAAUUGCAUCAAGUUAUUUAUUUAUUUGUCUCAGAAAUUACAAAGUCUAAUUGUGGAAGGUUGUUCCCAUUUGAGUGACACGAUUCCAGCACUGUUGAAGCACGGCUUAAAAAAUUUGGAAGAUUUGAAAAUUAGCCAACUUGGAGUACAUGUGGCAUUUCAAUUGGAAGCUAUUAUCGCUAAGGGACAAGAAAACAAACUAUUCCCAUCUUUAAAGUCGUUGCACUUGGAACACCUUCGAGAACUGCAAGUAUUAUUAUAUCAUGAAGGUCCCACGCAUAAUUUUAGCCUGCAAAAUCUUACCUAUUUGAGAGUGAGCGGGUGCACUAUGGUGAGACCUCUCUUCUCAUCAACACUUGCUCGAAAUCUGUUGCAAUUGGAGAGGUUGGACAUUUGUAGUUGUCGGGAAUUAGAGCAAAUCAUUGAUGAGGAUGAGGAUGAGGAUCAUCUCCAACCUGUAUGUUUCCCAAAACUCGAACUGAUUGCUGUCUAUAGUUGCCCCAAACUAAAGCGUCUAUUUCAUGUCAGCGUAGCUCCAAGUCUUCAAAAACUGAAGCACCUAUGGGUAGUAAGUAAUUAUGAAUUAGAAGAAGUAUUCUGGCAUAAAGAUGGAGCAGACGUCAUGGAUUACAAUGGAAUUGUUAUGAAUGAACUUCAGGAAUUGAGACUGGAAGAUUUACCAAACCUCACCAACUUUUGGCCUGCGGGUUAUCAGAUCCCAGUUCCACCUGCACACGUUCGUCGUUGUCCCAAGCUUCGCGCAAGUUUAGAAGGAAAUAGAUGAUUCCGAGAAUUCUGGAACAGAGGUAAGCUCUUGAGAACUUUAAAUUAAUUGACUCUACAUAUAGUUGGUUCAUGUUUUCGUUUGUGACAGCUGAUUGAUCUAUCCUAAAACCAAUAGACCGUCAUUACAUGAACAUAUAUAUUAACAUUAAUUUCACAGAUGAGCCAUGGAGUUCUACCAAAAUUUCCCUUCAAAUAUCUUUUUUUUUCCUUUUCAUGUUUAUAGUUCUUAUUGUUAUAAUUUUCUCUGUUUGUUCUUUAAUGCCCAAUUUAUUGGUUGGAUAGCCACCGCAAACUACAAACGAGGAAGAUGCCAGCCAAGAGGGAGACGUCAGUGUAGAUGCCCGUGAAGAAGAAGAUGACGAGAAAUAUGAUUGAAAGAAAAAAGAAAAAAAAAGACGUUAUUAUCACUCUCAUUUCUUUGGGAAUGGCUGUUAGUUAGCCACGUAAUAUGGUCUUCUUCUUUAUUUUGUACUUGGUCUUUAGUGUUUCAGAGGGGUUCAGUUCGCGCGAGAACCUAACAAGCUUUAUUCUAUACUUGUUCUGCGGGUGGUCACUUAAUAUUUAUUGCGUGCUCAAAUUGUGAAGACUAAAGUUUUAAGGCUUUGUUGUAUGCAUGUGAAGAUUUGUUCAACUUCAAAUUUUACAUGUUCCUUUUGUGUUCACUGUUAAAACUUUGGCAAAUUUGUUGGCUAAAUUGAUGACCCUUUCGAUGGGCAUUAAUUGUGCCAAUUUAAUAUGCAUUUUGUAUUGAAGAACUUCAAAUGUUUAGCUUUUUGGAUGUCAAAAAGUGUGCGUCUUGACCGUAAUAAUUUUUAUUUUUUCAGUUUGUGAGAGUGUUGAAUGUAACUCAUAAAUGGAUUGGCUAUAAAUGUGUUUCUGGAUCUCUGGUACUUGUAAAUUUGUUAGCUACCCUUUCUUUUUGGCUUGUGGAAUGGGCAUUUGAAAGGUCAUUCUGUAAAAUAAUUUUUACUCAAUCAUGUUUUUUUAAAAAGAUAUUUGAAAGGAAAAUUCUGUAGUUGUUUCAUUAAACAAUCAACCAUCCACCUUUAAAUUUCUCUAUUAUUAAGAAUACUAUAAUAUUUUCAAGUUGUAUCAUUUAUCUACACUAAUUUUAUAAUAUGUAUUAUUUAUUCAUUAUACUUGAGACUCAAUUUAACGUAAAAAGAUGUAAGAAAAUUAUUAAACAUAUAUCUUUACCUUAUUAUUAAAAAUACUACAAAAAUUUGACUUUGUGCUUUUAUUAACCACCAAGACAUUAAUAUUAUUAGAAUAUUAACAAAAUUUAAAUAAAAUAUCAAUUUUACCUUUAAAUUCAUUUUUUCCUUUGUACCAUAAAUAAUAAAAUAGAAUUUAGCUUUUUUAAUUAUGAAAUCAGAUUUAACAAUUGGAUUGAUUGGGUGUUUAUGAAUUAAGGUUUAUGGUAAUAUUUAGAUUUAGCUUGAUUGGGUAAAGUUGUUUAGAUAAAUUGAGAAAAUAAAUUAGAAUUUUUUUAUUAAGAAAAAUAGAGUUUUAGAUGUAUUUAAUUGAAUAUUGGUUAUAAAAAUAGUUUUUCAUUUUUAUAUUUUAAACUAGUAUUUUAUUUUGUACGUACCGUAUAGUAAUUACGGAAAAUCUAAGCUGUAGUACCACUACCUGACAUCUUUAAAUAAAAAAUUGGCACCGUAACAAUGAAAGACCAAAUCAUAUCAAAGCAGAGAAAUGAAUUUUCACCCAAAUAAUGAUAUGUAAAUAGUGCCAAAGUUUUCGAAUUUAGACUCAUUUUCUCUCCUCAAUUCUAGAUUAAAUGACCGAUGAUAUGUUAUCAAUUGCAGGCCGCAGCAUCGAUAUCCCUCUCCCUCCAGAUACCUGAAUUAUGUUCAAGUUCUGUAUAUCUGUGUGUCGAGUGUGGUGCUAGCUGGCUACUAAUUUCUUUUCUUCUCUAUAAUAUGCAUAUGUUAACUAAUGGGCAAGAGCCAAUCUCACCUUUGUGUACUCUUGAGAGAAAGAAUUUGAUUGGUUAGACCAGAGGAUACGUGAAGUUUAAUUAAUUAAAUAUUUUUUUAAUAAUUUUAAUAAAUAAAAUUAUUGUUACAAUCCAGCUCACCAAAGAUAUCCUAAAUGCAUUUCCAUGCAAAUUUAUAACAAAAAAUUUAAAUGAAGUAAAGGCCACUAAAAUUCAAAGCUGGAAAAAUAGAAUUCCAACACUCCUUCUAAAAUCUUAAGAAAUCCCACUUUUUAAUAAAAUUGUAAAAAAGGACAUAAAAUUAGAAUAGAAUUUUUAUUAGAUUUCAUAUCAUUUAAAAUAAAUUUUGUAAACAUACUUUUUCAUAAUAAAUUUACUGUUAUUAUAAUUUAUUUCUUCAUUGUUUAAAAAUUAUUUUGAUUUUAUCAGUAAAAUUAAUUAUAUCACAUAUUAGGAUUAGAAAAUAGUAAGGUUGCAUGAGUUGUAAAGACAUGUUAGUUUAAUUAAAUUCAUAUUUAUCGUUUAUAUAAUUUUCAGUACCAUAAAAUUACGAUUACAAAAGUGAAGUGAUAUAAGGAUUAUACUCGGAAUAAAAUUCCUGGGCUUGUAAAAACCCAGGCCUGGCUAUCGACAGCACGCCUGGGCUUAGCCACACGUCCGGCCCAUUUGUUAUUCCUGCGAGUAAGAACCCGUAUGAAAGAACAUAGAAACAGAAGUCAAAACUUGUAAUUUUGUUAAGAUUUAGGGAACAAUAUUUCAUUCAUCAAAGAAAAAUGGCCAUGCGAGUCGGAAUCGAAUAUGGUAAUCGAUUUCUCAAUUUGCUGGCUCUUUCUUGUUUCUUCAUCUUCGACUUCAGCGCAGACCCACAAGAAGGAAAAGCAUAACAAAAGCAUCAUAUGGCGCUGCGUCCUGGUUCCUACUCCGGCACCAUCUCCCUCUGGUAAUUCUAUUUUUGUCUUUUUUUAGGUGGUGUUUAGUUGAGAGGAGAGAAUAUAGGAGAGGAAAGUAAUUUAAAUUCUCUUUUUUAUUUUCAUUGUUUGGUUUGACAAAAUGUAUAAGAAUUUAAUUUUCAUUAAAAUUUAAUAUCCAUCAUAAUAUAGAAUUUGAAUUCCAUACUAAGUAGUGAAAAAUUUAAAUUCUUCUUAUAUGAUAAACUUAAGUUUCCAAAAUUACCCUUCAAUUUUUUAACUUAUUUAAUGCCAUUAAUAAUUAUUAUUUAUAAUUUUAUUUUAUUGAUUUAAUAUUAUAAAUGAACCUCCACCGGAAAAUCUCCGGACCACCGUCGGGCUUCGCCAAAUCUUGCCGAACCUCCGCCGCAGGCCACCGGACCACCAUUUUAUAUAUAUAUAUAUAUAUAUAUAUAUAUUAUUACUAAUAUAAAUAGUUUAAUAUUUAAAGUAAAGAAUAAAUCAGUCUAAAAAAAAUUAUAAUUCAUUUCCUUAUCAAAUUUUAUAUCAAACUAAAUAACAAAAUUUAAUUUCACUACUUUUCUUCAUUCCUUUCUUCUCCCUUCAUCUCUAUUCCAUUCUUUUCCUCUCCUAUCUUUUCUUCAAGCCAAACAUGACCUUAGUCCCUGUAUGUAAUUUUUUUCCAAUCAAUAUUUUCUUUGUUUUGUUUUAUAUACGAUGGGAUGGAGUUUUUAUGCAUUGUUAUUGAAAGAUCAUUUAUUUUCUGAUCUGGGCGGGUUUUUGAGUAGUAAGAAUAGGUUGCUUUGGUUUCGGCUUUUUCGCUCGGUCUCGUUUAUGGAAACAUUAACGUCAAGUACCUCAAGGUACAAUCAUUCUUUGCUUCAACCUUUGUUCUUAAUUUGUGCUUUAUUUGUUUGUAACUGAAAAUGAUAGAAUUUUAACUGCAUUGUUUUUCCUUUUUCAGUAUUUGGUUUAGAUAACGAUUUUAUUCUGGUUUCUUGCUGUGUAUUUAGCUAAUGUUAAUAAUUUGAUUAGAAUUUAUAGUGCUUUAUUUUAAUUAUUUUUUGCUUGCACCAAAUGGGGCUCACCGCUACUUGGUGCUGCCCAAACUCACAUCAUUAUCGAAUGGCUAUUCUAGUGUUAGUUUAUACCAUCCGGAAAUAUUCUUUUUUUUUUUCCUGAAAAAUGCAGGAUACUGAAUCUCUUUUAGAGAACAUGUUUUGGUACAGUUUAUAAAAUCAUUUGUAAUUUUGUGUAAAUUUUGAAAUUAAUAAAUAGUAGUUUUCUUUUUCUUGUAAGUUUUAGAUCCUUAGUUAAAGUUACUGCAUGCGAUAUUAUUUAGUAGAUGUGAGGGUUUAAUGGGAUUGAUAAUUUAGACUCAUCUUGUUAUUGGGAAAGUUCAAUGGAUGAGGGGAAAUGUGAAUUCAAUAGCUAAAAUUAUCACAGGCUGAGGGGAAAUGUGAAGUCAAGGGGAGGAAUUAUGAAGGGACUAAAAUAUCUAAUACAUAAUUGUUAUUGAGCUUUAUAGAUAUUAGUUUUUGUGUUAUUAUUGCUGUGUUUCUACCUAUUAGUACAUUUAUUUUUCCUGCGUACAUACAACAAAUGAAUGAUCAUUUUCCUUUGAACCAGAAACUUAGAAGAAAAAGAAAACCCAUUGCUGUGUUUCUACCCAGAGCCCAUUUGUCUCAUUGUUUAGAUGUUCUCGUUUUGAGCUUAACUCACAAAACCCAUCAUUAAUUGUUGAACCAAACACUGUCCAACGCAAUGUGGGAAUUUUUAGGGAUUUGGGUGACAAAUCCCCAAAUCAGUAUCUUCAUUUGGGUUGUUAAAUACAUGGUGGCAUAUGCCAAUAGCCACGCAUUUAGUUAUGUGCCUCAAGUUGUAAGAAAGCAAAGAACAGAGAAAAAUUGUUUAACCAAUCGGAAAGCAAGGGUAUAAUUAGGCCUGCUGAGCCGUAUUUAUAUGGUGUUUGUGAAAGGAGAUUUUAUAAUAAUGACAAGAAUGAUCGUAUCGUGUGACAGAACAUUUGGACAGUCACAAGUCACAACUUAGCUUCAAUGAAAUCUCAAACUCUUUUUGGGGAAAAUAUUUUGGAGCUGUAAGCUGUUGAUACCGCUAUGAAUGUGCUUAAUAUAUAAGUAGAGCAGAUAUGUUGACAGAGAUUUUGUGGGGUUUUGGAAGUUGAAGGAUUGGCUAGCUGCAUCUUGUUCUGGAUUCAAGCUUCAUGUGCGAAGAUAUACAUGUUCUGAAUACCAUAAAUUCCUAUUGCUUAUUAUUAUUAUUUUGUCUUUAAAUCUUUGAUAUGUCCUAAGACCGUCUACUACUUGUAACUUGAUAUUCAAGCUUGAACCUCAAACCUCAUUGUUUUCAACACCAGAGAUUUUGUCAUCUCAAAAAGAAAAGUUAAUUAAACUUUGUGUUAAAUUUGUAGUUAGCAACGUCAUAAUUGUCAAGUAACCUCUUGAUUUUUUUUUACCUCUAAUAUGGUAAUUUGUAAAACUAUAUUACUUCAUCCUACCAUCUAAAUAUUUCGUUAAUUGUUUGGGGAUAUACUAUUUCAAAUGUCCUUUAAACCAAUUUCUAUCAAAACAUGCAAAUAUUUCGUUGUACAGAAUUAGACAAAAAGGAGACCAACAUAAACACGGGUGUAGUAAAACAAGUUAAUAAUAUUUACCACGACAAACAUUAGGUAAUUGAUUAUUUCUAAAACAUAAUUAUAACAAUGAUUAUAUCAAAAGUUAAGGCAUUUCCUAAACAUGAAUAGUCCUUGGCCAAUCUUUAUUUUUUUGUUAAUAUCUUUUCAAUUGCUUUGCCAUCAUUCCAACAAUUUAACAAUGCAAAUACAAAUGUAAUAAAUAUUUGGAUUUUAGAUGGCUUGAUAUAUUUUGUGAGUUGAUUUAACAUCAUUUUUCUAAAUGGUGAUGCAAGAAAAAUUCAAAUGUAAAAACCAAUGUUACGGUUGUUUUAUGUCUUAAAAGAACAAACGUUACCAGUUUUUAUUUAUUACAGAUCCAAAAAUUAUUUAAGAAUUGAUUAAAAUAGACUAUUAAUAAAAAAUUGAGAUAAAUAUUAAAUUUUCUAAAAAUAAACGUUCAUUUUAUGUACCACUGCCAAACAGCGUCUAUAAUUGUCAAUUUAAAAUGGAAAAGUUUGCACACAAACGAGAGACUCACAAGAGAGCGAAAAGUCCAUUAAAUUACGUUAUAUGAAGUCGAGUCUUGAUGUUAUGCGUGUCGGUACGCGCCAAGAUCAAAUUUUAUAUCCUAUGGCAAUAAUGUUUAUAUGAAGAGUGUCUUCGCUAAUUAUAUUUCCCAUAUAAAUUAGAAUUAAAAGUAGGAUAUAAAAGUAGGAUAUAAAACAACUAAUAGGAUUGCUAACAAUUAAACCACAUUGGGGAUUGGAGAAUUGGUGAAAAAAGCCCCGGCCACACUCCGGGCCUUUGUUAGUUCGGGUGAAAAAUUUUUCCCCUGAGAUUUUAUUUUUAAAUUUUGGAUGGAGUUAUUUAUAACUUAAAAUACAUUUAAAAGAGUAAUAAUAUAAUCACAAAUUCUUAUAUAAAUUUAUUUUAUACAAAUUGAUGCAUCAUUAAUUCAUUGGUUAAACUAAAUAUUUCUUAGCCCACAUGAUCUAUUUUUAUUAUUUUAUAUUUUCAUUCAACAAAUGAAUUAAUAUUAGUUUGUACAAGAUAGUUUAUAGGAGUUUGUGAUUGUAUCAUCACGUUAUUUAAAAUACUUUUUUUUUCAUAACACUAAAUUAAAUGAAAGAAUUAUCAUAUUUGAAAAUACAGAUUUUACUCUAUAAAACCCAUCAAAAUGCCAAAACUAUUCUUAAUAUUUUUUUUUUUUUUGAAUUGUAGGUUUAAUUUUUACUUAUUUAAUCAAAAUGAUGCUAAAAAAAGCAUCAGAGGAAUCGUGAUCUGGUUUGCUUUUUGACAGCCAAAUUGCGAAAUCAUCGAUUGCUUUUUGCUAGUGCUUGCAAUAAUUUAUUUUUGACGGGGAUAAUAAUCCAGCUAAAAAGUUGAAGUAUUGGCCGACAAGAUUGUCACUUUUUCUUUUUUUGAAGAGUCCUGCUAUUUACCCCGGGUCAAAUCCCGGGUCAAACCCCGAAACUAAGUGAAACGACGCCGUUUUCUCUCUUUUUUUUUUUGUUUUCAUUCUAUCUAAAACGACGCCGUUUAGUUAGAAAAAGAUUACCUCUUAUUCCCUUUCUUCAUCCUGGCACUAUGAGAUGAGAUUGAUCGUUUUUUUUCUUCUUCAUUUUUUCUCCGGUAUGCCGCUCCGUGAGCAAGCAAGGAGUGAGAGAAUAAAGUGGGCUGUGGUGAUGUUAGAAUUUGCACCUAUUUGUAUCUAUUUAGUGAGUAGCCUGCUAGUUUUUUUGAUCUUACGUUGUUUUGGUUCCAUGGGUUUGAGAAUUUCUCUACUGUUCGUCACUCUGGUUUUGCUUUUUUAUUGGCUUUGUGAAACACUUUAAAUUGGAUCGUAUUUCGUUUGGCUUUUCUCCAAAGUAGGACUCCAAUUUUGGGUGCGCAUCCUCUGCCAGUUAUGCAUAAAACUGGGCUUUGGUGGGGGUCUGAUCUUCGCCCUUGGGUUUAAAAGUGUGAUGGCUGUCGGUGUUGGUGGUGUCGAUGGUUGAGAAAUAGAAGGAGAAUGGCUGUGAGACGAAAAGGAAGAGAAAGCAAUUUGGGGCUGCAUUAACCAAGCUAAAUCGAUUUGGGGUUGUACAGUUCGUCAAAUGUCUUCUUAGGCAUAUAAGUAGGAGCUCUUCCAUGCCAACAUAGCUAUUUACAGGACAUCAUAUUCAACCUCCAGAACUACUCAUAGCAGAAGCUUACCAGAUUGGGGAGGUCCCUUGAUUGAAGUCUCUUAAUGUCAUUAGCAGUCACCUUACAUGACUCCAAAGUCAGUGAUCUUAAAUUCUUCAGUGGCUUCAGGUGACGUAAUCCUGCACUUGUUAUCUGGGAAUUUGAAACAUUCAAAGAGACCAACCCUGUUAAUCCUGUAUUUGCAAGAACAGAAGUUACGACAACAAGGUUAAAAGAUCCCCACAAUAUAUAUGAGUAUAUCAAAAAACGACGUCGUUUUAGGGAGAAUGAAAGAAAAAAAAAAAACAGAUGAAACGACGUCGUUUGUUAAUUUCGGGGUUUGACCCGGGAUUUGACUCGGGGUAAGUAGCAUUUUCCUUUUUUGAAAGUAACCCAUUUUAAAAUCCAAAGUAGUGGACUGGUACUCUAGUAUUUUCACUUUAUUGCAAUCCAAACUGGUAGAUGGGUAGUCUAGUAAAAGGCCCCCAGAAUGUCCUUUGUUUUACUGUAAAUUGUUUAUUUUUAAAAAAAUUAUAUAUAUAUAUAUGCUAAAUACAAGCUAAAUACAUAGAGAGAAAUCUAUUUUUAUUUAAAGAGAAUGAGUCUAAUAAGAAUAAGAUUCAAAUUCUUUCUAAUGAGAAAUAUAUAAUAAAAAAAUAAAUAUUUUCGAUUUAAGCUCAUUCUCUCAACAACCAAAAAAGAUACCCCAAAUACAAAUAGCAGAUACAAAGCGUCUUCUUGAAUUUCUUUGAUUUUUUAUUUUAUUUUAAAUGAAUUUUUACCAAUUUACCUUCAGCCAUUUAGAAAGUACUAAACGGAAUACAAACAAAAAAUUAGGGGUGGGCACGGUUCGGUUCGGUUCGGUUCGGUUCGAAAUUAAGUAGAACCGAUUUAAAUCGGUUAUUUUAUAAAAAGAACCGAAUAAGAACCAAACUCAAUAAGAACCGAACUCAAACAGUUCUUUUCGGAUCGGUUCGGUUCGGUUUUUUCGGUUCUGGGCCUAUUGGGCCUAUCUUGAAUUUUUAAAUUUUUAGCCCAUUGGGCCUCAUAAAUGUAAUAAUUUUUUUCAACAAUUAAUUUAUCCUAAUUUUAUUACAAAUAUUAACAAUAAAUACAAAGUAUUCAAAACACAUUUUAUCACUAAUAUCUUACUAAUUAUUAAUAAGAUACUCCCAAAAUAUGAAAUAUUAAAAUUUCAAAAUACAUAACCAAACUCCAAUACUCCAUCUAUAUAAACAUAAUCAUAAUGUUAUAAAGAGAAAUAACACAUAUUUGAUUUGAAUAAAAUUAUUAACACAUGUUUGAUUUGAAUAAAAUAAAAAAAUAAUUCGGUUCUUCGGUUCGAUUUUUCGAUUCAGCUAAGUGAACCGAAUACUGAACCGACAUUUCGAUUUUUUUUACAAACGGUAUAUUCGGUUUUUUUAAAAAAUAAAAACCGAACCGAAUUAGAAAAAACCGUCGGUUCGGUUCGGUUUUUUUAACCGAACCGAAAUUUUGCCAACCCCUACAAAAAAUUCACUUUGAUUUACCUUCAGCCAAUUCUCGGGGGAGAUGUCCCCCUCGUCAUACGCAUACGUACCAUUCCACUUUUCACCUUUCAAUUCACACUUUGAUCUGAAUUUUUUUUUUUUUUAAAAAAGGAAAGUGAAGCCACGAAGUCAAUAGCAAUUUGUGAUACAUGAUUCGGAUCUUGCUACCAAAGCUCAUUCAUUUCUCAUUCUCUUGGAAGUCACCAGAUCUGUGAGCUAGCUGCUCUCGUUUUGGUAUGUUACUUCUGCUUCCUAUAUCAGUUACAGUUAUUAUUUCAAUCUUUUUUUUUUUCUCCUAAGAAUGAAAGAUUUGACUGAGAACAAGGAGUUAUAUAUAAUGUUAAUUAGCUAGAUAUAUCCUAUGUUGUUUUGAUCUCAUGUUUAUAUAUGUUGCUAGAUGCGGCCUUUAGUUUUCUCCGAACUUGUGCAACUCUCUAGCGAGAGCUUUCAGCAGUAAUUGAAGAUAUAAACGGAAGAAGGUAUGAGAUAUUAUUGCUUCAUAGGCUCUUAAUUUGAUGUUUGUUUUACUUCCAAUGAUGAAAGAUUUGACUUAGAACAAGGACUUAUAUAAGAUGCUAAUUGGCUAGAUAUAUCCUAUGUCGUUUUGAUCUGAUAUUUAUUUAUAUUGCCAUGUGCAGCUUUUUAAUUUUCUCCGAACUUGUGCGACUCUCUUAACUGGGGAUUUCAGCAGUAAUUGAGGUUAAUUUUCUCCGAACUUCAUAGGCUCUUAUGGUUUCAUAGGCCCUUAAUUUGAUUUUUGUUUUACUUCCAAUGGCUAUACGAGCUUGUUUUAUGCCAAUUCUGAGCCGUUGGAUUAAAAACAUACGGACAAAAUGAUCAAGAACUUAAGUUCUAAUUUUUUAAUGCGUUUUUUCAUUAAUUAAUUUUCAUUAAUUUUUUUCCCAUUUGUUUGCAUUAAUUUAACUUAACGUCAAUCACCUCCAAGUCAGUACUGUUGACCAUACUUUAAAAAAUUAAAUUAAAUUUCCUACCCAAGUCCCAACAUGAGUCCAUUAUGCUCUCUUGCCAUUUCAAAUUGGUCCAUUUAAUGCGUGUUCUAAAUUGUACAACCACAAUAAAAAUUGAAAGUGGCGCUGUUCAUGCUCUUCUAUUUUCUUCAUGAAACCCAUUUGGCCAAUUUUUAAACAAAAUUUUUAUUAAAAAAUUUUAAUAAAUAUAUGAUUACUAAUAUAACUCUUUUAAAUUCGACAUAUAAGCUUAUUUUGCAGAUUAUCCUUUACAAAUUAGUCAAUUCUAAUUCGAACAUUAAAAGAAUUCACAAACAUUAAUAAAAAAUUCAAUUUUUUAUAUUUGUUUCCAAUUAAAACCUAAUUAAUAUUUAUUUACGUUUCAUUUGUUGCAUGAUAGAUUCAUUUGAAUUUUAAUUUAUAACAGACAAAAAUAUUAUCUUACACUUGAAAAGUCAUGUUCCAUGGCUAUAAAAGUAAUGACAUGGACAGUUUAGGUAAAAUUAAAAAAAAUACAAAUACUAUAACUAGUAAUAGGUCCAAACUUGUGAGAAUAAAAGAAAAUUUACCCCAAUUUUUUAUCAUACCAAAUAAGGUGUCAUUUAUAUCUAUCGAAUAAUAAGAUAGGGUAAUAAAUAAUUUAACAAAUGAUUAAAUUAAUUAUCCAAUAUGUGAGUUCAAUGAACAUUUAAAGGAAAAAGAAAUUAAGAUAUUAUUUGAAAUUAUGGUAUUAUUUUAUUAGAAUAUUUAUUAAAGGUAAAAAAAAAGAGUAAUAAUCUUGAAACCAUUCAUAUUUUUUCAUGAGUGGGCUUGCAUGGGAUGUUGAACUACUCUAAUCUCUAAUACUCUUUUUAAUUGUUAUUAUGGGUGGCUUUUCAGUUAUUCAUCACUUUGAUCAUAUUCCUCAUGCAACUGCCUGUCUUCACUCGCAAUGCACCACAAACUCUUAGGUUUAUCCAGAUUCUAUUAUACUUGUUGUUUGAUAUUUUUAUUUAAAAAUUUCUAAAAUAAUCUAAUUUCAAUAUAAUCCAUCAUAUAUAAUGUUUACCUUAUUUCAUUCUCUUCUGUUUUGCAUUUUGCUCUUAUUGAUCAAAGAUGGCGUUAAUAAGCCCAAAAAAAAAAUAAAUAAAUAAAGUAAUUAAACCAUGUUGUUCGAUCUUGUGAUCAAGCCUUGAUGUUUUGCUUAUAGCAUACUGAGAUCAACUUGUUAAUUGCAGAUAAAUAGCUUGGAAAUUUUAUCAUGUAUUGGAUCAAUGAGAAAAUUUCUUUAUAUAUUUUUUGUAUUUUAAGUAAAACAAAUGGUUUGGGAUAUUUUAAUUUAAAACUUUGACACAAAAUAUUGAGCAAUUAAUUUCUCACAGUCUAACAGUUGAUAUUGAAAGUCAAAACAAUAUUUUAUGAUUUUAAAUCAUCCACCAUUGAAUUACAUGAAAUCAAUAGUUUAAAUUUUGUUUUAAAAAUUUAUUAACACCAACAAUAUAUAUCCAAGCCAUCAUGUAGUUAUAUACACAUAUAUAUAGUAUCAUUAAUAAUAUAUAUCAAACAAUUUAUUACAAUGUCUUCUACAAUUAUUAUUAUUUAAGUAUUAAUGAUCUUUUAAUUAAAUUCAUAUAAUAUAAGUUAUUAUAAGACCUUAUGGAAUAUCUUUAUAUGAAGUAGGGAAAAAGACACCUAUACUCCAAAGUUUGGGGAGAUGGUCGCAAAAACUCAGUUUUCAAAAAGGAAAGACCUCUUUUGACCAUAAUACCCUUUUAAUUUAGUAAUUAGAAAAUUGAUUUUAAAGCUUUAAUUAAUAAAAAUUUACUCUAAUAAAGUAAUUUUUAAUAAUAAAUAGAAACAUAAUAUUAAAAUAAAUAAAUUAAAAUUAUUUUAAAUAUUAUGUAGAAAGUAAUUUCAAUAUUAUUAAUAGGGGUAUAUUUUGUUAACUGGAAAACCCAUUUAACCCAAAGAUUUAUUUAAAAUCUUUAUAAUAAAUAAAAAUAUAUUAUUAAAAUAAAUAUAAGAAUUUAAAUUUUAAUAUUAUUUUUAUUGUUAAAAAUAAUUUAAUAUUAUUAAUCUACUAGAUAGAUUAUAUUAUUUAUAUUAAAUUUGUCAAUUAAAAAAUCUUAAAGUCAAUUUUCUAAUUAUUAGAUUUAAAGGGUAUUACGGUCAAAAAAGGAUCUUGAUAUCCCUUUCUGAAAACCUAGGGUCUUUAUGACCAUUUCUCCAAACUUUAGGAUGUAGAUGUCUUUUUCCCUAUAAGGUAUUGUUGAGAUAAUAUUACCUCCUAAUUACAUUUAUUUCAAAACUAUUUUUAUUUCUAAUACCAAUUGUGAUAGAAGAAAAGGUAAAAUUGUAUAGCUUAUAGGCAGCACCUAACAUUUUUAAUUUCAGAAUUAUUUUUAACUUUUUCUGUUCAUUUUGUCGGUGCCCAAAAAAUAUUUAACAAUUGAUUAGAUAAAAGUGAUUUAAAGUAUGGAGAAGUACCACAACCUACAAAUUACUUGUUACAUAAUUAUUUGCCCCUCUAUUUUCUUCAUAAAACCCAAUUGGCCAAUUUCUAAAUAAAUUUUAUUAAAAAUUUUGAUGCAUAUACGAUUACUACUGAUAUAACACUUUUAAAUUCGACAUAUAAGCUUAUUUUGGAGAUUAUCUUCGUAUAAAUUAUACAAACCCCCAUUUAUCCUUAUACAAAUUAUUUAAUCCACAAACUACCAAUAGCAUAAAAUAACAAAAAUUAACUACUCAAAACAUCUUUUUAUAUUUGUUUCUAUUAAAACCUAAUUAAUAUUCUUUACUUUUCAUUUGUUACAUGAUACAUUUGUUUGAGUUUUAAUUUAUAUCAGAUAAAAAAAAUAUUAUUUUACAUUUGAAAAAUCUAAAUUAUAAUUUGGACACUUUAAUUUUAAUGAAAAUUUAUAUUACUAAAAUAACCCUAAUUGAAUUCACUACCAAAGGCAUUAAUAUAAUUUAAAAUAAUAUUAUUACUCUUAACACACACAAAAGUACUAAUAAUCGCUAAUAAUUUUCCCUUCAUCAUCUAAUCUAAUCCAUUAUAAAAGAAAAAUGCUCUGUUUUUUCCCCCAACUUGAUUUGGAAAUCAGCAAGCCACGUACUCUUUAUUGUUUCACUGCAUUAAUGAAACUAAAACACUUUAUAAAAUUAGUCACAAAAUAUUCCCAGAGCUGCAUUUGAAAGUAUAUAUGUAUAUAGCUAGUGGCUAGGUUCAAAUGUCAGAUGAGGGCAAAGCUACGUUGCAACAUACGUUUGGUACCCCUCUCUUUUGUCUUUAUUAAGGUUAAUUAUAAUAGUGUCCUGCUAUUUGUUGUAAAAAUAAAAAUGUUAAAAAAUUUUAAAGUUUUACGCAUUAGUCCUACACCUUCAUAACAUCAUUUUUCUCAUCCAUUUUGCACCAUCAAUGACAUCAUUUUUCUCACCCAUUUUAAUUAAAAGGUAAUUAAAAUUAUUUUCCAUAUAGAAACAUAAUAAUAAUAAAAAAUUAUUCUUAUUUUUUAAUUAAUUACAAAAAGAUAUUUUGUAUUAAAAAAUAUAGACAAUCACUAGUGACUAUUGUUUCUUCAUGUGCAAUGACAUUAUUAACCGAAAUGGAACAUGAAGGAUUCCAUUAGACUUGAAAUUGGAUGAUUUACAUAAAGAUAGUCUCAAUGCUAGCAAAUUGUGAUAUGUAAAGUUACAUGCUCCUUCUAAAAUAGGUGCAACAAUAACUAUACCAUCAAAACACAAGGAGUUACAUUAUACUACCACCUUUUUUUCUUUUUUUUUUUUAGUUUAGAGACCCUCAAAUUGGUUGUUAAAGGCAAUGAACCUUAAAACGUGAUGUAGGAAGCAUAUUAAAUAAAAUAAAUUAAAAUUUACUAGAAAUUAUAAUAUUUGGGUCAAUUUAAAAUUUAGUAUUUUUUUAAGAUUUAUCUUAUUUUAUUAAGCUUACUUGAGUUAUAUUUGUAAUUCUAAUCUAAUUAGGAUUUUAAAUUAUUUCUCUUAUUUGAGAAAGAUUAAGAUUAAAUUAGCUACUAUUAUAUAUGUAAGUUUGUUAUUCUUAAUUUAUGAUAACAGACACAAGCUUCUCAUUAAUAAUAUUCAAUAUUUUCACAAUUAAGAUAUUAAUCCUUAGUGGGAUUUUUUUUUUAAUUUUCAAGACAAAUGAUAUUAGAGCUUUUUUUGGUAGCAGGCAGAGCAUUCCUGACCACCAACUCCGUACAUUAGUUCCAUCAAGUUAAAAAAAAAAACUAGCAAAACCCGAAGCCGCCAUCACAUCUGCCACACACGGCUACCGCCGCCACCAGUUUCUCUUCUUUUCGAUCGAUCCUCUCUCCCAUCCGAAAGCCUACACGCCGCCAAUCAUAACCCAACCCAUAACACCACCAUCUCGUCACCGUAGCCACGGGAAACUAGUCAAAACAGCCGCUGAACCACCACGAAAAUCCGCCUCUCCAUUCGCUACAAUCAGCCGCGAUUCACAGCCUCCACCACCACUCAUUCGUCCACCAUCAUCAGCUCUUUCUUUUCAACCCACUCACGCUGCCAACCCCCGGCCAGAUCGUCGGAAACCGAAACCAACCUCCACCCGCUACUUUAGCUCAACUUUUUGGUCAACUCACAACUAUUUGAGACAAACCACCACCAACAUCACACUCAGCACCAUCAAAUCUUCCAAAUCCACCUAUCCUAGGCCAAUUUUUCGACCACCGUCGACGGCAACACCAACUUUUGCCUAUUUUUAAUUUUGCCCCUUUACUUUUCUAUACUUACACUAUUACCUAUAAUUUUCUGUUCUUAAAAAAAAAACCCAAAAACGAAACAAACUUAUAAAUAAAUAAAUAAAUUAGAAUUUACUAGGAAUUAUAAUAUUUGGGUCAAUUUAGAAUUUAAUAUUUUAUUAGGAUUUAUCUUAUUUUAUUAAGCUUACUUGAGUCAUAUUUGUAAUUAUAAUUUAAUUAGGAUUUUAGAUUAUUUCUCUUAUUUGAGAAAGAUAAGGAUUAAGUUAGCUACUAUUAUAUAUAUAGGCUUGUUAUUCUUAAUUUAUGAUAAUAGACACAAGCUUCUCAUUAAUAAUAUUUAGUUUUUUCUCAAUUGAAAUAUCUUCUCUUUGGUGAGAGUCUCUUUCUUGAGUUUUCAAGACGUAUACUAGAACGAAAUUUAGUAUCGCUUCCACUCUACGUUAAAACGUCAUCUAAUCAUAGGGUCUUGUUCUAGUUGUUUGCAUUGGAAUGCUCAUCUAUUGCCGGCAUAUCUAUUUAUCCGGCAACAUUGCCACCAUUACAUUGAUCAGAGAGUUUUGAUUACGUUGAUAGUUUUUGUUUCUCUGUUCACUCAUUUCUAUUUCUUAGUGAUGAUACUGUCAUUGUUGUCAUUGAUGGUGCAAUAAUUUUUAGCAAUAUUAUUUUGAUUUUUCAUUUGACUUACAAAACUUAAAUAUUAAAUAUAAUACUCAAUUUCAGUCACAUACACUUAAAUAUUACUAAUAUUCAAGUUCAUAGAUGGAUAUUGAAUAAAUCAAAUUUGGAGUAUUUUAGAUGGAUAUUAUCUAAUCUAUUUGGUUCAGAUACUUAGACAUCCAACUUGAAUGGAUUUGUUUGCUCUUUCUAGCUGUUAACUCGAUUAAUAAUUCUAUUGGGUUUGGUUUUAUAACUCCUAAUACGAUAACUCAUUCAUGACACAAAUUAAUUAUAUUAAUUGACUUCUAUUUUAAUUGAUAUAUAUGUGUUGAAUUGCCAUCUCUAUUGUUAUCCAUGUGUAUUGCCAUCUCUAUUGUUAUCCAUGUGUGAUGUUAGCAAGAAAGAAGAAAGAAUAGAAAAUACUUAUUUUUAGUUUAUUUUUCUAAAGAAAUAUUUAAAUUAUUUUCAAAUAGAGUAAUUGUUUAGAAUUUUUGUACCCUUCUCUCAGAUAAGUUAAUGACUAUUUAAACAAUUGGGGUGGAGUAACAAAUACCAAUUUAUUUAAGUGUGCAAUUAAAUUAUUAUUUUUUAUUUUAAGGACAAAAACUCAUUGUUAAAAAAAAAGAUUUUACAAGUUCAUAAACUAACAUUUGAUUAUUAUUAGUAAAUUAACAUAUUUUUGCUAGUUAAUUAAAUAAUUGAUAGUAUGUUUAAUAAAUAUUAUGUUACAAAAAAAAUUAACUAUAUAGAAUAUGAAAUUAAAUUUAUUUUUGUAUCUUGUAUAUUUCAUCUACUUGAGAUAAUAAAAUCUCUUGUGUUAAAAAAAAAAUUAUGGGUUUUGAACCUUGUUCACAUAGGUGAGAGGAAAUUGGUUGCCAUUAUGUUAAAUAAAAAAAAAAGAUCAUAUUUAUACUUAUCGUUAAUUAUGGUUAGUAAAUAAUAUACAUAGUUUAACUAUAUAAUAAAGUAGUUAAUUUAUUAAUUAAAAAUAUAUUAAUUUAAAUAGAUAUUAAUAAGUGUAAGAAAAAGUCGUUUAAUUAGAAACCGAGUUCAAUAGUUAAAAAGAAAAAAAGAGAAUAUUAUGGACUUAUACGUCAUAAUUUCAAAACUUUUGAUUUUGUUUUUAUUUUCUAUGAACAAUAAGGGUCUUUGUUGUUAAUAACCCAAAAAUUACAUCUCAGCCAUUCUGCAAUUCUUACGUUAAAUCCAACGGUAGAUUUGAAAAUGACAAAAAAUGGGGUACCAAACCCAUGGGUAUUGUAGCUGGACCCGUCAGAUGAAAGAAUUUCAACAUAAAUCUUGAAUCUUGAUAAUGCUUCGGAAUCAUUAAUUAACGCCACAUGGUUCAAGAAUGAUGAAUAUUUUAUGGGUGUAAAUAGAAAAUAAUUAGUUAAUGAAAUGGUCCUAAUGAAGGAUAGUUUUGACACUUGAAAUAGUGUGUAAAGUAAAAAUUAUUUUUUAAAUUUAUUUAUUGAAUGAGUGUGUUGAGUAAAAAAGUAUUCAAAAUAGAUUUUAGAAUGUAAAUAAUCCCAUUCUUUUUAAAAAUACUAAAAUUAUGGCUACGCAUAGGUCAAAACUUUAGAGACUAAGAGGAAAUUUAUCUCAAAUUUUACCAUCCCAAAUAAGGUACUAUUUGUGGAUUAAGAUCUCCUUCUAGUGUUUUUUCUCUCCUACUCUCUUAUAGCCGUCCAAAUCUAAUUGAAAAAAGGAGAAAAAAAAAUUGGUUUAAUUGUUAAUAAUGUGAAACAAGCCAAUUUAAUUGUCAAUAUCAAAAAUUAAAAUUCAAUUUCGGCCACUUAUUUCACUAAGAGAUUAGUGAGAGAAAAAAAGUCUAGGAGACGAUCCUUCUCCACCAUUUACAUCACUAGAUAGUGAGAUGGAGUAUUAAAUAAUUUAAAAAAUUAUUAAAUUAAUCAUCCAAUAGGUGGGUGCCAACCAGUUGAAUAAUAUUAAGAUAUUAUUUGAGAAUUCUGGCACCAUUCUAUUAGAAUAUUGGGUGGAAAAAAAUCGGUAAUUAUCUUGAAAACUUUUGAAUUUUUUCAUGAGUGGGCUUCAGCCCCAUCUAAAUCAUUAUUUUUUCUUUUAAGUAUACCAUGAGUCCCUUCUAAAAAAAGAUAAUAAAAAGAAUAUGACCACAUUUAAAUGUAACAAAAUGCGUGUAAUUUAGUAGUAAGAGUUAUGCUUUGUGGCUUAGGAGACCUUAGUCAAAAUUGUUGGUUCAAAUCUAAAAAAGAAUUGUAAUUUUUGAACCAAGUUGAUCAAUUUGACCAUAUUCUCCCAUGCUGUUUAUCCAGAUUCUAUUAGAUUUCUUUGUUGUUUGAUAUUUUUUAUUUAAAAUUUUCUAAAAUAAUCUAAUUUCAAUAUAGUCCAGCACAUAUUACGUUCGCUGGGGCCUUUAUGGAUAUACUCUUGUGAAACGCUUGUUCCAUGUUUGAACAAAUUAGGAAAACUCUUGGGUUUGUCUUGAUUUUAGUAAAUUUGUCUGCAAGCUAGCUAACCUUUAUCCGUCCUUAAAAAUAAUAAUAAUAAUAAUAAUAAUAAAUUACCUUAUUUCCUCUCUUUUGUUUUGCAGCUAAUGGCCACUUAAAGCUCGGCGUUUGCAUUUUGCUCUUACUGGUCAAAGCUAGUGUCAAUAAACGUGCAUUCACAGAAUAGAAAAAGGUAAUUGAACUUUCUCGUUCGAUCUUGUGAUCAAGCGUCAUUGUUUUGCUUAUAGCUUACUGAGAUCAACUUUAUUAAUUGCAGAUAAAUAGCAUGGAACUUUUGUCAGGUGUUGCAUCAAGGCUUGGAGAAUUGUUGGUGGAUGCAACCAUAAACCAAGCUCGUUAUCUGCUUUGUUUCAACAGCGUUAUUAAAGAACUUGAGGAUAGAGAAACUAAUUUGAAGGAGGCACAAGAUGGCAUCAAUGAAAAAGUAAAACAAGAGCGACAAAUCCACCGAGCCAUUGUAAUCGAGAAAGAUGUGGAGAAGUGGCUGAAGGAUGUAGACAAAGAAAUGGCCGAUGUUCAAAAUUUGAAAGCAAAGAUAGAUGAAAAGAAGAGUUGUCUUAAUGGAUGGUGUCCUAAUUGGGGUUGGCGAUAUUGGCUGGGUAGAAAAGCAUCAAAGAAGAGUAGCAAGUUGUCUGAACUACAAAAUCGAGGCAAAUUCAUCUCAGUUGCCCUUCCUAAACCUCUACCAUCAGACAAAGAAUUGCAUAUGCCAAGACAUUUUAUGUCUUUCGGGACUACAAAAUCGACUUGCAAUCAGAUUAUUGAAGCACUGAAAAGAGAUAGCACGAAGAUGGUGGGAUUGUAUGGUAUCGGUGGUGUCGGAAAGACGACUUUGGCAAACUUUGUGGGCAAUCAACUUCGGCAAGAAAAGAUUUUCGAUGAGGUGGGGAUAGCCACUGUGUCUCAGGAUCCAGACAUAAUAAAUGUUCAAACUGAGCUGGAAAAGUCGUUAGGCUGGAAAUUAAAGGAGAAAGAUGUUAAAGAGAGAGCAGGCCGAUUGCGCUCGAUGUUCUCUGACAGUAAAAGCCGCAAGAUCCUCAUAAUCCUUGAUGAUGUCUGGAAUGAACUCGACUUGGAGACAGUAGGUAUUCUUGUUGGUGAUAGAGACAAUUGUUGCAAAAUCUUUAUAACCACUCGCCUGCAGCCAGUUUGUGAUCGCAUGGGUUGUGACACGCGGAUUCAACUAGGUGUUCUAAAGCCAGAAGAAGGAUUGGAUUUACUAAGAGAGCAUGCUGGCAUUGUUGUUGCUAAUUCAACCUUGAUUGGUGUUUCGGAACGAGUUGCUAAUGAAUGUAAGGGGCUGCCUUUAGCUAUUAAAGUUGUUGGAAGUGCACUAAAAGGUAAAGGAUUUGAUGAGUGGAAUCUAGCUCUAGAUAAACUACAAGAUGCAAAACUCAAUACAAUAGAAGGUAUUGGCAAGGAGGACCAAGACGUUUACCAUUGUCUCAAAUUUAGUUACGAUUAUUUGAAUGGUGAGGAUUCCAGGUCGUGCUUCUUGUUGUGUUCUUUGUUUCCAGAGGAUUAUGAGAUAUAUUUGGAUGAUUUGGUUGGAUAUGCAGUGGGGUUGAGAUGGUAUCGAGCUAAGUCAAUUGAAAAAGUCAGGAGCCUACUGAGUGGAACGAUGAAAGAGCUCAAAGCUUCUUCAUUGCUGUUAGACACUGGCAAUGACAGAUCUGUGAAAAUGCAUGACGUAGUCCGUGAUGUAGCCAUAUGGAUAAGCAAAAAGAAGGAGGAGGAAGAGGAGAGAUUUUUUAGUAUAACUGGCAUCGAAAUGGUGGAACGGGCGGUGGAAGAAGGCCUGGAACAGUGCAGGGGAAUGUCUUUGGUCGUAGAUAAAAAAGAAGAAGAGCUUCCUAGUAGUUUGAUAUGCCCUAACCUUCAUAUUCUGCGAUUGGAGAACACCGUAUAUUAUUACAAAUUGCAAAUUCCAGAACAUUUUUUUAAAGGGAUGCCAGCAUUGAAAGUUGUUACUAUAAUAGGUGGAGUCCUUUCACUAAAAUCGCUUCGAUUCCUCGACAAAAACCUCCGACUUCUGCAGUUGAUUCGAUGUGAUGUGAGUGACACGUCUUUUCUUGGAAAGUUGAAGAGACUUGAACUUCUUUAUCUCCAGCGGUCUCCC
rnacentral:lncRNA from 1 species